AUGUUUAAAUCAGAAACGAUACCAAGAUUUAAAAAGAAGCAAACUAGGCAAGACGCUAUCUUUGAAGAAGGAGCUUUACAAGUACACACUAGAGAGCUAACUUGCUUCUCCUCUUCCACAUCCUGGCUUCAAAGGACUGGACGACUUGCCCGCACUGUCUCCAUUGCAGCCGGUUUCCGAGGAGGAGGCUAUUCGGAUUAUUGCAGACCCUCCACUGCCCCUUCUUCAUUCACACUUCGAGACUACGUGGAUCAUUCGGAGACUCUGCAGAAGUUAGUGCUUCUAGAUAAUGAACCUCCACUGGGGGACUGAGAGGAACAAGUCAGGUAAGGGGUUGUCUCAAAUCCAUCUGUUUCUCUCAUUUCCUAGUCACUGCCUUAGUUUAAGUCCUCAGUUUUUAGUGAAAAGUUAGAGCUUUCUAACUUGAUCGUCUUCUUUUCGGCAGUAUUGCCCUGGUAAUCUCUCUAACAUUAGUGCUCUUUCUGUGAUGCACAUCUGCCUGUGUCAGUGAGCCGCUUGAAACCCUUCAAAGCUCUUCCCAGUCUGGCCCUUGCUUACCCUUUCUGCUUCACUUGCUUGCCACUUCCCUCCUUUCUGUUGACCAGGUCUGACAGCUGGAGAACUUGAGUUCAAGUAACUUUCCAAAUGUCUUCUCUGACCCUCCUCUGGGCUCUUUGCAUCAUGCCCUGGUUAAUUCAGUCCCAACGCUAAUAGCAUUGUUAGAAUUGUUUACUCAUCUGUCCUUGUACACGUUACUCAAAUGUAUAGGGAAUGGCUUUUGUUCUCAAGAAGCUUCAGGUCUUCAGAAGCAUCGAAAUACACAUAUAGAAGAAUAACAAAUCCAAAAAUGAAAGGUAAAGUGAUAAAUCCUACGUAAGAAAUAGAAAUAGGAGUUCCCGUCGUGGCGCAGUGGAAACAAAUCUGAUUAGAACCAUGAGGCUGUGGAUUCAAUCCCUGGCCUCGCUUAGGGGGUUAAAGAUCUGGCGUUGCCGUGAGCUCUGGUGAGCGGCUCAGAUCUGGCAUUGCUGUGGCUGCGGCGUAGGCCAGCAGCUAUAGCUCCAAUUAGUCCCCUAGCCUGGAAACUUCUAUAUACCUCAGGUGCGGCCCUAAAAAGCAAAAUACAUAUAUAUAGAAAUAAAGAUUUCUGUGUGUUCA
rnacentral:lncRNA from 1 species